UAACUGGAAGUAGAGUGGUGAGUUCGUUCUUGUGAAUAAGCGCGGUGUAGUUUUUGAUGUACUCAGCGUUGACAUCGCAGGAUUUACGUUUUCCUGUUGAUUUAGGGCUGGAAAUCUUAAAGAGAGGCGACAAGACUGACUCCAGAAGCACAGGUCCCGGAACAGACAGACCCCAGAGACUUGCAGUCUAAAGCAGAUUGCCCUGUCGUGAAGAGACCCCUUCGGAAGACCCGAAGCAACGGUCUUCCUGCAGAGAGAAGAAAAUGGCUCAUGACCAGCCUCUGCUGGUUGUGCAGGAGGCCCUGAGGAAGUGCUUCCCUGUGGUGGAGGAACAGCAGGACCUGUGGCAGAGCACCCUGCAGGACUGCUCGCCCCUCCUGUCCUCUCUCAGUAACCUGGCUGAGCAGCUGCAAGCCGCACAGAGUCUGCGCUUUGAGGAUGUGCCAGCCCUGCGUCCCUUUCCAGACUUACAGGAGCGGUUGAGGCGCAAGCAGCUGGAGGCUGGUGACGUUGUCCUGGACAAGCUAGCUGAGAGGCUGUACCUGAAGAGAAAGUACCUCCUCUCCUCCAUCCACUGGGGAGACUUGGCCAGCAUCCAAGCACUGCCCAAGGCCUGGGACCAGAUUUCAGAAAAUGAGUGCCAAACUCUUGUGUCAGAUGUCCUGGUGAGUGUCUCCUUCUUCCUGGAGGAGCCAGGAGGCUGUGCAGCGUCUGGAGAUCUGGAGCACCGCAGCUGAGGGCUGCCAUUGCUACACUAGGCUAUUUCUAAGUGAGGGUCAGCAUUGCUACCUGACUCACUGGAAUAGCAGUGCCUAGGACUUCUCCGUGCUAGGCCAUGGCCAAGGGUCCAUGGCAGCUGCACCUAUGACUCUGAGAAGCAGAUAGAGGCGGAGGAGACAGGAAAGGCAGUGCUGAUAAACAGUGUCCACCAAGGCAGGAAAGGGCAGAAUGCAAGGUUGUGUGGCCACCGCUGCCUAUGUCAUCUGAACCACAGUCUCUGGUUGGCUCAAGUCCUGAUUCUGUGUGUGUCAGUAUCUGAGUCCUUAAUGGCUUAAAGAUAGGAGUGGGUCUGGGAGUCCAGGGCGGGAGCAGUGUGUGUGUGUGUGGUGUGUGUGAAAGUCGGGGGACAAAGUCAAUCACCUGCAAAACCCCAAAAAGGAAAGGACUGAAGAAAAGGGAACAUUUAAAAUGUUUACCCCUUCACCGAAGCUCAUUAUGAAGCCAGUUUCCAUUUCCAAAGUCAGCCACCAGGGGGCGAUGGUGCAGCGUGAGCGGUUCUGAAUGCCUUGUUCUUGAGGGAGGUCCCCCUAUUGCUGUUAAAAGCCACUGAGGUGUCUGUGGGGAGCUGGGUGUCCCACCCAGGACUAGGGAGUCAAAGACAGGUGGGUCUCUGUGAUUUUGAGAUCACCUUGGUCUCUAUAGCUCCAGGUCAACCAAGGCCACAUACUGAAACUGUCUCAAAAAGAAGACAAAAAGUUAAAGGGACCUCGCAUUGGCCAUGGUCUUCUGAGUUUGGGGUAACCAGCCAGCGGAGGGAAUGCCGGCUGUGAUGGUUGGUUUUUAUGGUCCACUUGACACGCAAAGCCACCUCGGAAGGGAGUCUCAGUGAGGAAUGUUCUAGAUUUGGUUGGCUUGCAGACAUGCAAGAUUUUCUUAACUGAGAUGAGAAGACCCAUCCUGAAUGUGAGUGGCAGCAUUUCAUGGGCUGGAGCCAGGAUCAAAGGAGAAAGAGCAGGCUAAGCACUUAGCAGGCAUUCACCUUUGAUGGUGAGUAUGCUGUGACCAGCUGCUUCAGGUUCCUGCCACUGACUCUCCUGUAGUAAUGGAUUCUAACUUCAAAUUAUAAGCCUAAUAUCUGCCAAUAGGUGUUAUCAUGCUUUAGGGUUCUCUAAAGGAACAGGACUAGUGAUAGCAUGAAUGAAUAUAAAGAGAGAGUACUGAGGGCAGCAAGAGUGAGGGCCGGUGUACCUAAAGCAAAAGCUUUCUUCUUCCAUAUGAUGAUAUGUGGACUCCCACCACAGGGUGUGGCCCAGAUUUGGGGUGGGUCCAACCCCCGAAUGAUCCAGAUUUAGAGUGAGUCUUCCCACCUCAAAUGAUCCAAUCAAGAAAACCCUCACAGGCCUGUCUAGUUGCUUGAGUCUUAGUUGAUUCCAGAUGUCAAGUUGACAGCAAAGAUUAGCUAUCACAUGCAAGUGCCGGGAAAGAGACUGAGGGGCAGCCUGGAGUGGUGCCGACGCUUGCCUUCUGUGCCGCAGCCACUGCUCGGGGGUCUCAGCUUCCCAUGUGCUCUACGAGUCAGGGCUGCCGUGUACAGGGUGUAGUGCAGAGAAUGGGUUUAUUUUAGCUUUUGAUUUUACAAGACUGGGUUUCUCUGUGUAGCCCUGGCUGUCCUGGAACUCACUCUAAACCAGGCUGAUCUCAAAGAUCCACCUGCCUCUGCCUCCUGAGUACUAGGAUCAAAGGCAUGCGCCGCCACCACCACCCAGCUAAGGAUGGAGACUUUUAAAAAGAAAGUGGCUUUGUUUUCUUACUAUAUUUUUUGUUUUCAAUUAAAGAAAAAAUUUAAAUACAGAAAAGUAUAAUGUAAAACCCACCCUAGUAUUUUGAUCUGUAUCCCUUUACUGUUCUUAACAAAUUUCAAAACAAAGACAUUGACACAAACUCAUUGUUUCUAAAUUUGUGGAUAGUUGGACAUCUGUAAAUAAGUCAAUAAAACUGUACUAUAUAGGCUA
ensembl:processed_transcript 9930104L06Rik RIKEN cDNA 9930104L06 gene